GACGAACGCUGGCGGCGUGCUUAACACAUGCAAGUCGAACGGAAAGGCCCUGCUUUUGUGGGGUGCUCGAGUGGCGAACGGGUGAGUAACACGUGAGUAACCUGCCCUUGACUUUGGGAUAACUUCAGGAAACUGGGGCUAAUACCGGAUAGGAGCUCCUGCUGCAUGGUGGGGGUUGGAAAGUUUCGGCGGUUGGGGAUGGACUCGCGGCUUAUCAGCUUGUUGGUGGGGUAGUGGCUUACCAAGGCUUUGACGGGUAGCCGGCCUGAGAGGGUGACCGGCCACAGUGGGACUGAGAUAAGGCACAGACUCCUCGGGAAGGCAGCAGUGGGGAGUAUGGCCCAAUGGGCGGAAGGCUUAUGCAGCAACGCCGUGUGCGGGAUGACGGCCUUCGGGUUGUAAACCGCUUUCGCCUGUGACGAAGCGUCAGUGACGGUAAUGGGUAAAGAAGCACCGGCGAACUACGUG
rnacentral:rRNA from 1 species